rnacentral:lncRNA from 1 species
CCGGCGCCUCGAUUCCUGCCCAGCUGGAUUUGGGGGGCGACAGCGCCCGGCGCAGGGCGGAGAGCAAAUGAGACUGCGAAGGAGCAUAAAAUGAAUAGACAAUACAACCAACCAAAGACCGGGGGCAGCAGCACGCCAGCAAGACGGCAUCUUCUCCUCCCCAGCCUAGAAGCCCUGUGAAAUCGAGGAUCUUCCCCCUAAAACACACACACACGAGAUAUGUGCAAUCAAGCUGCCACCGCUUGGUAAAAAGCUCACGGUGCCUAACCCAAAAGGAUCAGGAGCAGAUCCUUGAAUCAGCUGUCACCUCUUCUAUAGAAUGGGAUGUUUUUUUUUCCUUCCUCCUUAACCUGCGCUGGAAAUUGCCGUUGGCUUUGUACAUCUCUAUAGAGGGAGGCUAAAGAGUCUUGCGUGAGAAUGAAGCAAUUUACAAUGCAAAUAGAGGCCUGUGGAGGGACGGAUGCUGCUGCUCACUCGUAACCGCUUGCUGCACCUUAAUAGCUGGUUUUAUUUUUUGAUAUUAAUAGAUGAAUUGUUGGCUAACGCUGUCGGAGAUUACUUGCUGAAAGGAAAGAAAAGUUCGGAAUAAACUUUGAAAGCAACAGAUCUCGUUUGGAUGUUUUAGCCGCACACACAAACAGAAACCAGGUCAUAUUUACAUACAAGAAGGAAUCUUAUGCUCGGCAAGUGUCCUGGAGGACUACUCUUCGGUACUGCCAGAGAGAUCGGGAUCUGGAAUCUGGCCAGAGGAAGACAGAGGCGUGUGAGGGAAGUGAGUUGUUAUCUUUGGUUAUCUAGCUGUAUGAGUGUAUUGGUCUUCAUAAAGCUAGAUAACCGAAAGUAAAAACUCCUUCAAGAUCGCCGGGGAGCAUGUGAGAAUGAAAGACUACAACCAAGAGACAGUAAAAACCAGAAAGGACAGUGUUUCUCUGCUGGCCCAGUGUGUGAACCCUGGGUUGGUGCCCUGUUCCAGAUGGGAAGGCACGAUCAGAAAGGUUUGCCUCAGGACUCACUUUGCCACGCAUCAAGUCUCUGCGCCUCAUGUUCCCUGAUACUACAGAAGGACAUACCUGGACAGAGAGAAACUAAAUAACCUUCCCAUGAUUGUUGAAUGAGGUGUAGAAAAAUCUGGAAAGAGCAUUUUCUGCCUUGGCCUCUUCUUUGCUCCUUUACCUCCUCAGCUGUGUCUAACUCAACUAGAAGACCAAUAUAAACUGAACUGUCAUAUGGUGCUCUUUCUAAAGUGGCAUGGUAGGUUUCUUAAUAUUUGGGCUUAUUUUU